rnacentral:lncRNA from 1 species
UAUUCACAACUUCUGAUAUAAAUUAUCAAAGUUGGAUCCUAUAAAUCAGUCACUGUCAAAUAGUGAAUGGAGCAACGUACAUCGAGCCAUUACUAAAAAAAAAAUACAAGACCUCAAUGUUUAUGAAUUGAUUAAGCCUAAAGACUUGGACUUUAGUCUAAAGGUUCUUCCACUAUUUUAGUUGAAUUGAUAGCCUCUACCUCC